AACGUAGGAGACAAACGUUAUCCGGAGUUACUGGGCGUAAAGGGCGUGCAGGCGGUCUGUUAAGUCUGGCGUGAAAGCUCUCGGCUAAACCGGGAGAGGUCGUUGGAUACUGACGGACUAGAGGACGGUGGAGGCGUGUGGAAUUCCGGGUGUAGUGGUGAAAUGCGUAGAGAUCCGGAGGAACACCAGUGGCGAAGGCGACACGCUGGGCCGUACCUGACGCUAAGACGCGACAGCAUGGGGAGCGAACGGG
rnacentral:rRNA from 1 species